rnacentral:tRNA from 1 species
AGCCCCGAGGUGUUCCACAUAUUAGAUUGCAAAUCUGAAGAAGAGAGUUAGCAGCUCUCCGGGGCUU